UAGAACUAAAAAAAAGCUUGUGAUGAAUACCUUGGUACCUAGAAACGAAGAAGGGCGUUAGUAAUAAUAAUAACGAAAUGCUACGAUUAAAAUAAUCGUAGAUUCCCGAAUAGAUUAAUCUUUAGAACUACUUGUUUUAUUUCAAGUUAGAGAUGACCUGGAGAACUGAAACAUCUUAGUAUCCAGAGGAAAAUAGACAAAAAAUGUCAAUUCCCUUAGUAGUGGUGAGCGAACCGGGAAAUAGCCUAAAUCAUUUAAUUAAAAAUGAGGUUGUGGGAAAUAAAAAAAAGUAACAAAAAAAUUAUUUUUUAAUGUUAGACAAAUCAUUAUACCCUAGAGGGUGAAAGUCCCGUAGUCAAAAACAUAUAUGAUAAUUUUUUGUUAUAUUAAAUCCCAAGUAACACGAGAAAUGUUUAUCUUGUGCGAAUCUGCAAGGACCACCUUGUAAGGCUAAAUAUUACUAGGUAACCGAUAGUGAACAAGUACCGUGAGGGAAAGGUAAAAAUUUUCUAACAAGAGAAUUAUAUUCAUAAUGAAAUUGCAAGCUAUCAAAUUAUAGAAGGAGAAAUAAUCUCUAACUGUGUGCUUGUUGAAGAACGAGCCAGCGACUCAUAAAUAUUGGCUUUAAGGUUAAGGUGUAGCAAUACUGAAGCCAUAGCGAAAGCAAGUCUUAAAAGGGCAAAAAAAUAGUCAUUAUUUAUGGACCCGAACCUGAGUGAUCUAUCCAUGAACAGGAUGAAGCUUAAAUAAAAUUAAGUGGAGGUCCGAACCGGUUGAUGUUGCAAAAUCAACGGAUGAUUUGUGGUUAGGGGUGAAAUGCCACUCGAACUCAGAGCUAGCUGGUUCCCCCUGAAAUGUAUAUAAGUACAGCGGUUAAUAAAAAAUAUCCAGGGGUAAAGCACUGUUUUGACGAGGAAAAUAAAAAAUGACCAAAUUAAAGCAAACUCUGAAUACUGGAUAAAAAUAUAACUAGUGAAACAAUGUGGGAUAAGCUUCAUUGUUAAAAGGGAAACAGCCCAGAUCAUCAGUUAAGGCCCCAAAAUGAUUACUAAGUGGUAAAGGAGAUGAAAAUGCAAAGAUAAUCAGUAGGUUGGCUUAGAAGCAGCUAUCCUUAAAAGAGUGCGUAAGAGCUCACUGCUAAACGCGUCUUUGUGCCGAAAAUGUACGGGGCUAAGUAAUCUGCCGAAGCUUUGAGAUAUAAAAUAUACAAAAAUAUCGGUAAGGGGGCGUUCCGUAUUAAAAUUUUUACGGAAGUGAGAAUGUUGGCUUGAGUAACAAAAACAUUGGUGUGAAUCCAAUGCCCCGAAAACCUAAGGAAUCCUACGCAAAGUUUAUCCACGUAGGGUAAGUCAGGUCCUAAGAUUAAGUCGAUAGACGCAGUUGAUGGUCGACAGGUUAAUAUUCCUGUACUAUCUUUUUGAAAAAUUGUAUUUUUAAGGGACGAAGAAGGCUAAGUUAACUGAAAUAUGGUUAUCAGUUCAAGGACUUAAAUCAAUUAUUUUUUGAUGAAAUCUGAGUAUAAAACUUUAAUGUAAAAAUAACGUAUGUCAUACUUCCAGGAAAAACUUAAAAAUAUAUAAUAAGAGAUACCUGUACCAUAAACUUACACAGGUGGGUGAGUAGAGUAUACUAAGGGGUACGAGAUAACUUUUCUCUAAGGAACUCGGCAAAAUAACUUCGUAACUUCGGGACAAGAAGUGCCUAUUUAUAGGUUGCAGUGACCAGGCCCAGACGACUGUUUAACAAAAACACAGGUCUCCGCAAAGUCGUAAGACCAUGUAUGGAGGCUGACGCCUGCCCAGUGCUGGAAGGUUAAAGAAGUAGGUUAUCUGAUGUCAGAAAAGCUUACAACUAAAGCCCCAGUAAACGGCGGCCGUAACUAUAACGGUCCUAAGGUAGCGAAACUCCUUGUCGGGUAAGUUCCGACCUGCAUGAAAGGCGUAACGAUCUAGGUACUGUCUCAGAGAAAGACUCGGUGAAAUAAAAAUGUUUGUGAAGAUGCAAACUAAUUACACCUGGACAGAAAGACCCUAUGAAGCUUUACUGUUCCCUAUAAUUGAAUUUGCAUUUUUUCUGUGUAGUAAUAGGUGGGAGGUAAAAUUAAAAAAUUUAUCAUUAAUGAAAGACCACUCUGAUAAAAUUCAAAUUCUAAUUUUAUUAAAAAAAAAAAAGACAGUUUUAGGUAGACAGUUUAUAUGGGGCGUAGGCCUCCAAAAGAGUAACGGAGGCGCACAAAGGUUUUCUUAAACCAUUAUUAAAAUUGGUUGUCAAGUGUAAAGGCAAAAGUAAGCUUAACUGUGAGACCUACUUGUCGAACAGAGACGAAAGUCGGUCUUAAUGAUCCGAUAGUACUGUGUGGAAGGGCUAUCGCUUAACGGAUAAAAGCUACUCUAGGGAUAACAGGCUGAUCUUCCCCAAGAGUCCACAUCGACGGGUAGGUUUGGCACCUCGAUGUCGGCUCAUCGCUACCUGGAGCAGUAGCAUGUUUCAAGGGUUGGGCUGUUCGCCCAUUAAAGCGGUACGUGAGCUGGGUUCAGAACGUCGUGAGACAGUUCGGUCCAUAUCCGGUGUAAUCGUUGAAGCAUUAAUGGUUGUCUUUCCCAGUACGAGAGGAUCGGAAAGGACACACCUCUGGUGUACUAGUUAUCAUUCCCAUGGUAAAUGCUAGGUAGCUACGUGUGGAGUGGAUAACUGCUGAAAGCAUAUAAGUAGGAAACCCAUCCAAAGAUGAGUG
rnacentral:rRNA from 1 species